GCUUAAUGAAGCAGUUUUGGUGUAUAGAACAUGCCCCUGCGGCCUCACUGCUCAAUCCUCUGCCAUUUAGGAGUUAAAUGCAUUUGUUUAUGAACCCUAGUCACACCUCCCUGCAUGUGACUUGCACAGCCUUCCAUAAACACUUCCUGUAAAGAGAGCCCUAUUUAGGCUUUCUUUUUUGCAAGUUCUGUUUAAUUAAGAUUUUCUUAUCCCCUGCUAUGUUAAUAGCUUGCUAGACCCUGCAAGAGCCUCCUGUAUAUGAUUAAAGUUCAAUUUAGAGAUUGAGAUACAAUUAUUUAAGGUAAAUUACAUCUGUUUGAAAGUGAAACCAGUUUUUUUUUCAUGCAGGCUCUGUCAGUCAUAGCCAGGGGAGGUGUGGCUAGGGCUGCAUAAACAGAAAAAAAGUGAUUUAACUCCUAAAUGACAGUGAAUUGAGCAGUGAAAUUGCAGGGGAAUGAUCUAUACAC
rnacentral:lncRNA from 1 species